rnacentral:rRNA from 1 species
CUAAGUUGCAGGGUAUAGACCCGAAACCCGGUGAUCUAGCCAUGGGCAGGUUGAAGGUUGGGUAACACUAACUGGAGGACCGAACCGACUAAUGUUGAAAAAUUAGCGGAUGACUUGUGGCUGGGGGUGAAAGGCCAAUCAAACCGGGAGAUAGCUGGUUCUCCCCGAAAGCUAUUUAGGUAGCGCCUCGUGAAUUCAUCUCCGGGGGUAGAGCACUGUUUCGGCAAGGGGGUCAUCCCGACUUACCAACCCGAUGCAAACUGCGAAUACCGGAGAAUGUUAUCACGGGAGACACACGGCGGGUGCUAACGUCCGUCGUGAAGAGGGAAACAACCCAGACCGCCAGCUAAGGUCCCAAAGUCAUGGUUAAGUGGGAAACGAUGUGGGAAGGCCCAGACAGCCAGGAUGUUGGCUUAGAAGCAGCCAUCAUUUAAAGAAAGCGUAAUAGCUCACUGGUCGAGUCGGCCUGCGCGGAAGAUGUAACGGGGCUAAACCAUGCACCGAAGCUGCGGCAGCGACACUAUGUGUUGUUGGGUAGGGGAGCGUUCUGUAAGCCUGUGAAGGUGGCCUGUGAGGGUUGCUGGAGGUAUCAGAAGUGCGAAUGCUGACAUAAGUAACGAUAAAGCGGGUGAAAAGCCCGCUCGCCGGAAGACCAAGGGUUCCUGUCCAACGUUAAUCGGGGCAGGGUGAGUCGACCCCUAAGGCGAGGCCGAAAGGCGUAGUCGAUGGGAAACAGGUUAAUAUUCCUGUACUUGGUGUUACUGCGAAGGGGGGACGGAGAAGGCUAUGUUGGCCGGGCGACGGUUGUCCCGGUUUAAGCGUGUAGGCUGGUUUUCCAGGCAAAUCCGGAAAACCAAGGCUGAGGCGUGAUGACGAGGCACUACGGUGCUGAAGCGACAAAUGCCCUGCUUCCAGGAAAAGCCUCUAAGCAUCAGGUAACAUCAAAUCGUACCCCAAACCGACACAGGUGGUCAGGUAGAGAAUACCAAGGCGCUUGAGAGAACUCGGGUGAAGGAACUAGGCAAAAUGGUGCCGUAACUUCGGGAGAAGGCACGCUGAUAUGUAGGUGAAGCGACUUGCUCGUGGAGCUGAAAUCAGUCGAAGAUACCAGCUGGCUGCAACUGUUUAUUAAAAACACAGCACUGUGCAAACACGAAAGUGGACGUAUACGGUGUGACGCCUGCCCGGUGCCGGAAGGUUAAUUGAUGGGGUUAGCGGUAACGCGAAGCUCUUGAUCGAAGCCCCGGUAAACGGCGGCCGUAACUAUAACGGUCCUAAGGUAGCGAAAUUCCUUGUCGGGUAAGUUCCGACCUGCACGAAUGGCGUAAUGAUGGCCAGGCUGUCUCCACCCGAGACUCAGUGAAAUUGAACUCGCUGUGAAGAUGCAGUGUACCCGCGGCAAGACGGAAAGACCCCGUGAACCUUUACUAUAGCUUGACACUGAACAUUGAGCCUUGAUGUGUAGGAUAGGUGGGAGGCUUUGAAGUGUGGACGCCAGUCUGCAUGGAGCCGACCUUGAAAUACCACCCUUUAAUGUUUGAUGUUCUAACGUUGGCCCGUAAUCCGGGUUGCGGACAGUGUCUGGUGGGUAGUUUGACUGGGGCGGUCUCCUCCUAAAGAGUAACGGAGGAGCACGAAGGUUGGCUAAUCCUGGUCGGACAUCAGGAGGUUAGUGCAAUGGCAUAAGCCAGCUUGACUGCGAGCGUGACGGCGCGAGCAGGUGCGAAAGCAGGUCAUAGUGAUCCGGUGGUUCUGAAUGGAAGGGCCAUCGCUCAACGGAUAAAAGGUACUCCGGGGAUAACAGGCUGAUACCGCCCAAGAGUUCAUAUCGACGGCGGUGUUUGGCACCUCGAUGUCGGCUCAUCACAUCCUGGGGCUGAAGUAGGUCCCAAGGGUAUGGCUGUUCGCCAUUUAAAGUGGUACGCGAGCUGGGUUUAGAACGUCGUGAGACAGUUCGGUCCCUAUCUGCCGUGGGCGCUGGAGAACUGAGGGGGGCUGCUCCUAGUACGAGAGGACCGGAGUGGACGCAUCACUGGUGUUCGGGUUGUCAUGCCAAUGGCACUGCCCGGUAGCUAAAUGCGGAAGAGAUAAGUGCUGAAAGCAUCUAAGCACGAAACUUGCCCCGAGAUGAGUUCUCCCUGAGACUUAGAGUCUCCUGAAGGAACGUUGAAGACGACGACGUUGAUAGGCCGGGUGUGUAAGCGCAGCGAUGCGUUGAGCUAACCGGUACUAAUGAACCGUGAGGCUUAACCUUACAACGCCGAAG